GCGGGGGCAUCACAUAGACAAGCUAAAUUUACUAACUGCGGCCCUCCCUCCUUCCCUACUUGAUUGAUUACUAUUAUUCAAAAGUCGUAGUUUCCAUGACAAUCAACAUCAUCAUUUCAUUACCUUUUGUUGAUUUCCGCCGUCCCCUCAGCCGCAUCGCAACUGUUUUCGCUUUUACCCAACAACAACGGCACAGGAUCACUUCCUGAACUUGAAGAACAGUCCGAAUCUGAAAAUUUGAACGAAUUUGAAACCAAUUCACGUCUGAUAAAGUUUAGUCAGAAGACUUUUUGUAAUAAACUAACUCACCUCUAGAAGCUUUGAAUGAUCUUUUGCAGUGUAAAAUAGCGCUCUGGAUCCCAUCCUGUUGUUGUAUCAACGAAUCGUCACGGCGGUUUGACAAUACUGCACCUGCAGGAGCAGCCGCAACCGCCGUAAAAGCUGACCGGCUCUUUCUCAAGACUACUCUAAGUCCUGCAGGUAAAUUACCUUGUUUAACCGCCGCCGGUGGUUCGGAUUUAGAUUCCUUUUCUGUUGCCGAAGACUCUGGUGAUGGUUCUGUAACUUCUGAUUUUGAUUUCUUCAGCUGUCCGGUGAAUUUUAACUUCUCACCGUAUCUGUUCGAAACGCGAACGUACAGAGGCUUAACUUUUCUCAAAUACUUGUGCAUCGCCUCUUUCGAAAACUUCUUCUCUUCUGAAGAAACAGAAACCGGUUCAACGACGUCGUUUUGACGCUUUUUUGGAGCUUUUGAGCUGUUGUGCCUCUUGAACAACGAAACAAUAGGAGCAUCUUCUUUCGAACUUGAACAAUUAGAAUCUGUAGUUUCAGUCGAUUUGAUUUUUUUAAGCUUCAACAUCAUAACUCGAAACUUCGUAGCGGAUUUCAUCAACAAAACACGAGGUUGAGAUUGAGACUGAGACUGCAACGGUUUUGACCUAAUUUCAGCAGUUUGUUGUUGUUCAACAGGAACAAAACCGCCAUUGAAAAACAGCUCAUCUGAAGGCGAAACAGAAACGUUCACCACAUCACCGCUUGAGUCAGAGUCUAUAAGAGUGAACUUCAACUCACUCUCAUCCUCAUCCUCAUCUCCUGACUCAUCAGAUCCAUCAACAUCUUCUUCUUCGUCACUGUUUUCAGCUUCAGCGUUUUUCAAAACCUUGUUUUCUGCAGCAGCUUGUGUAACAUCUACAGCGUCAUCAUCGUCUUCUUCUUCUUCUGCCGGUAAACUGAACUCUAAGUCGAAGAACGGGCCGUGGUCGUUGUCGUCGUCUGUUUCAGACGACUGAGUGGUGACAAUGGUGGUGGUGGUUGCGGUGGAUGUGCUGACGUGAGCAUUGGUGGUUGUGUCACUACCGGCGGCAUUAGUUGUUGUUCUCCAGUAUCUUAGUAAGCUGAAAGCUUCCAUUGUUGGAAGAGCCAGAAGCAAAUGGUAAGAAAGUAGGGUGAAAAUAAAAGGGAAGAAAGGACAGUAGGUGAUGAAGUACACAAGUAGAGUGAAGUGUGGGUUUUAUUUUCUCUUUUUACUAUUACUAUUGAGAGAGUAAAACUGUAAAUUAUUUAUCUUUUAGCUUUAUGUGACUGAAUUAGAAAUUUAUAGAUUAAAUAUUGUAAAAGUUAUAAUUUAUUGGGAUGGUGUAUCAUCUCCCAAGAUAUUUGUUUGGGUUAAUCGUUAUACGGGUGGUCACGGCUAUUUAAGUUUCAUCUAUGUCUGAGUGA
rnacentral:lncRNA from 1 species